CACGUUAGGGCCGCCUUCCACCACGAGUCCCACGACGGGCACACCCUGCCCCAGUCCUGCAACACAAACCACAGUCACUGCUUGGGCCUGUGCACAGCACUUUCACCUGAAACGUGAUGAGGAGGGGACUUCGGGACAGUAUGGAUACAGCACACGGCGCCAGUGUUUACCAAGGAGCAACAGACCUGAAAUACAGGAAAACGCCUGUCUAUCAAAGUAUUUUGUGAGCUCUAAGUGGCACACAAAUAUGGAAUGCUGCUGUUACUGUUUCUGCCUCCACUGCCUGGAAUAAAGCAGUCAAACAACCAUUAAACGUUUCCUGUGGACAGCCCUUGACAAGAGAUUCUGGAGAACAGAUCAAGCGGACAUACUUUACUCUGCCUUGAGAUUUCUAACCCAAGCGCGGCUUGGGAGUUUAGGUCUUCAGGAAUUUGGUGGCUAAAUCACCUUCUCCUCUAGAAAGAGAGUGGAACUGGUUCUCCUUGGCGAAAGCUGGACUCCCGAAGCUCGUGGUGUGGGAGGUGACAACUGAGCAGCCCUUUGCUGUCCUUGCCCUGCUCAGAGCCCUAGGCAAAGGAUGACAAAGGGAAGCCCACAAGUCACUCGGCUGGGUGAAGCAGGGUAGUGUGAAAACUCACAAGUCCAGAAAAACUUAAAAUGUUGAAAACAACAACAAAAAUUUCAAUCAAUUUAU